GAUGAACGCUGGCGGCGUGCUUAACACAUGCAAGUCGAACGAUGAAGCCCAGCUUGCUGGGUGGAUUAGUGGCGAACGGGUGAGUAACACGUGAGUAACCUGCCCUUAACUCUGGGAUAAGCCUGGGAAACUGGGUCUAAUACCGGAUAGGAGCGUCCACCGCAUGGUGGGUGUUGGAAAGAUUUAUCGGUUUUGGAUGGACUCGCGGCCUAUCAGCUUGUUGGUGAGGUAAUGGCUCACCAAGGCGACGACGGGUAGCCGGCCUGAGAGGGUGACCGGCCACAUUGGGACUGAGACACGGCCCAGACUCCUACGGGAGGCAGCAGUGGGGAAUAUUGCACAAUGGGCGCAAGCCUGAUGCAGCGACGCCGCGUGAGGGAUGACGGCCUUCGGGUUGUAAACCUCUUUCAGUAGGGAAGAAGCGAAAGUGACGGUACCUGCAGAAGAAGCACCGGCUAACUACGUG
rnacentral:rRNA from 1 species